rnacentral:rRNA from 1 species
UUUCCAGACUCCUACGGGAGGCAGCAGUGAGGAAUAUUGGUCAAUGGGCGCGAGCCUGAACCAGCCAAGUCGCGUGAGGGAAGACGGUCCUAUGGCUUGUAAACCUCUUUUGUCGGGGAGCAAAAGCCGGACGUGUCCGUCUGUGAGAGUACCCGAAGAAAAAGCAUCGGCUAACUCCGUGCCAGCAGCCGCGGUAAUACGUAGGUGGCAAGCGUUGUCCGGAAUUACUGGGUGUAAAGGGAGCGCAGGCGGGAAGCCAAGUCAGCUGUGAAAACUACGGGCUUAACGUGUAGACUGCAGUUGAAACUGGUUUUCUUGAGUGAAGUAGAGGUUGGCGGAAUUCCGAGUGUAGCGGUGAAAUGCGUAGAUAUUCGGAGGAACACCGGUGGCGAAGGCGGCCAACUGGGCUUUAACUGACGCUGAGGCUCGAAAGUGUGGGGAGCAAACAGGAUUAGAUACCCGUGUAG